AGCGGCGGACGGGUGAGUAACGCGUGGGUAACCUGCCCUAUACACAUGGAUAACAUACUGAAAAGUUUACUAAUACAUGAUAAUAUAUAUUUGUGGCAUCGCAGAUAUAUCAAAGUGUUAGCGGUAUAGGAUGGACCCGCGUCUGAUUAGCUAGUUGGUGAGAUAACUGCCCACCAAGGCGACGAUCAGUAGCCGACCUGAGAGGGUGAUCGGCCACAUUGGAACUGAGACACGGUCCAGACUCCUACGGGAGGCAGCAGUGGGGAAUAUUGCACAAUGGGCGAAAGCCUGAUGCAGCAACGCCGCGUGAACGAUGAAGGUCUUCGGAUCGUAAAGUUCUGUUGCAGGGGAAGAUAAUGACGGUACCCUGUGAGGAAGCCCCGGCUAACUACGUGCCAGCAGCCGCGGUAAUACGUAGGGGGCUAGCGUUAUCCGGAUUUACUGGGCGUAAAGGGUGCGUAGGUGGUCCUUCAAGUCGGUGGUUAAAGGCUACGGCUCAACCGUAGUAAGCCGCCGAAACUGGAGGACUUGAGUGCAGGAGAGGAAAGUGGAAUUCCCAGUGUAGCGGUGAAAUGCGUAGAU
rnacentral:rRNA from 1 species